GUGCUCACUUUGGCUGCACAUACACUAAAAUAGAAAUGAUACAGAGAAGUUUAGCAUGGCCCCUGUGCAAGGAUGACACGCAAAUUCAUGGAGCAUUCUGUAAUUUU
ensembl:snRNA U6 U6 spliceosomal RNA